rnacentral:rRNA from 1 species
AUUGAACGCUGGCGGCAGGCCUAACACAUGCAAGUCGAGCGGAAGAACGGAGCUUGCUCUUGGAUUCAGUGGCGGACGGGUGAGUAAUGCAUAGGAAUCUGCCCGGUAGUGGGGGAUAACGUCCGGAAAGGGGCGCUAAUACCGCAUACGUCCUGAGGGUGAAAGGGGGGGAUCUUCGGACCUCACGCUAUUAGAUGAGCCUAGGUCGGAUUAGCUAGUUGGUGGGGUAAAGGCCUACCAAGGCGACGAUCCGUAACUGGUCUGAGAGGAGGAUCAGCCACACUGGAACUGAGACACGGUCCAGACUCCUACGGGAGGCAGCAGUGGGGAAUAUUGGACAAUGGGCGAAAGCCUGAUCCAGCCAUGCCGCGUGUGUGAAGAAGGUCUUCGGAUUGUAAAGCACUUUUAGUUGGGAGGAAGAGCAGUGAGUUAAUACCUUGCUGUUUUGACGUUACCAACAGAAUAAGCACCGGCUAACUACGUG